UAGGGAAUCUUCGGCAAUGGACGAAAGUCUGACCGAGCAACGCCGCGUGAGUGAAGAAGGUUUUCGGAUCGUAAAACUCUGUUGUUAGAGAAGAACAAGGAUGAGAGUAACUGUUCACCCCUUGACGGUAUCUAACCAGAAAGCCACGGCUAACUACGUGCCAG
rnacentral:rRNA from 1 species